AGUGAACGCUGGCGGUAGGCCUAACACAUGCAAGUCGAACGGCAGCACAGUAAGAGCUUGCUCUUACGGGUGGCGAGUGGCGGACUGGUGAGUAAUACAUCGGAAUCUACUUUUUCGUUGGGGAUAACGUAGGGAAACUUACGCUAAUACCGCAUACGACCUACGGGUGAAAGCAGGGGAUCUUCUGACCUUUCGCGAUUGAAUGAGCCGAUGUCGGAUUAGCUAGUUGGCGGGGUAAAGGCCCACCAAGGCGACGAUCCGUAGCUGGUCUGAGAGGAAGAUACGAUAGAUGGGAACUGAGACAGGGUACAGACUCCUGCGGGAGGAAGCAGUCGAGAAUAUUGGACAAGGGGGGAAAGGCUAAUCCAGCAAUACCGCGUGAGUGAAGAAGGAGUUCGGCUUGUAAAGCCAUUUAGUUGGGAAAGAAAAGAAGCACGUUAAGACGCCGCUAUAAUGACGGUACCAAAAGAAGAAGCACCGGCUAACUUCGUG
rnacentral:rRNA from 1 species